GACGAACGCUGGCGGCGUGCUUAACACAUGCAAGUCGAACGGAAAGGCCCUGCUUUUGUGGGGUGCUCGAGUGGCGAACGGGUGAGUAACACGUGAGUAACCUGCCCUUGACUUUGGGAUAACUUCAGGAAACUGGGGCUAAUACCGGAUAGGAGCUCCUGCUGCAUGGUGGGGGUUGGAAAGUUUCGGCGGUAGGGGAUGGACUCGCGGCUUAUCAGCUUGUUGGUGGGGUAGUGGCUUACCAAGGCUUUGACGGGUAGCCGGCCUUAGAGGGUGACCGGCCACAAUGGGACUGAGAGACGCCCCAGACUCCUACGUGCGGCAGCAGUGGAGAGUAUUGCACAAUGGGCGGAAGCCUGAGACGGCAGCGCCGCGUGCGUGAUGACGGCCUUCGGGUUGUAAACCGCUUUCGCCUUUGACGAAGCGUGAUUGACGGUAAUUGGUAAAGAAGCACCGGCUAACUACGUG
rnacentral:rRNA from 1 species